AUAAAAUAAAUGGUUUUUAUCUGCUAUAGGAUAGGAUCGUGUUCGAUUAUGGUUGUUGGUGAGGUAAUGGCUCACCAAGCCGAUAAUCGAUAGGGGCCGUGAGAGCGGGAGCCCCGAGAUGGGUACUGAGACAACGACCCAGGCCUUACGAGGCGCAGCAGGCGCGAAACCUCCGCAAUACACGAAAGUGUGACGGGGUUACCCAAAGUGUUCAAUUUUGAACUGUGGUAGGUGAGUAAUGUUCCCUACUAGAAAGGAGAGGGCAAGGCUGGUGCCAGCCGCCGCGGUAAAACCAGCUCUUCAAGUGGUCGGGAUAAUUAUUGGGCUUAAGGUGUCCGUAGCCGGUUUAGUAAGUUCCUGGUAAAAUCGGGUAGCUUAACUAUCUAUAUGCUAGGAAUACUGCUAUACUAGAGGGCGGGAGAGGUCUGAGGUACUACAGGGGUAGGGGUGAAAUCUUAUAAUCCUUGUAGGACCACCAGUGGCGAAGGCGUCAGACUGGAACGCGCCUGACGGUGAGGGACGAAAGCCAGGGGAGCGAACCGGAUUAGAUACCCGGGUAGUCCUGGCCGUAAACGAUGCAUACUAGGUGAUGGCACGGCCAUGAGCCGUGUCAGUGCCGUAGGGAAACCGUUAAGUGUGCCGCCUGGGAAGUACGGUCGCAAGGCUAAAACUUAAAGGAAUUGGCGGGGGAGCACCACAAGGGGUGAAGCCUGCGGUUCAAUUGGAGUCAACGCCGGAAAUCACUAGUGC
rnacentral:rRNA from 1 species